AGAGUUUGAUCCUGGCUCAGGACGAACGCUGGCGGCACGCUUAACACAUGCAAGUCGAACGAGAGAAGAGGAGCUUGCUUUUCUGAUCUAGUGGCGGACGGGUGAGUAACACGUGAGCAAUCUGCCUUUCAGAGGGGGAUACCGAUUGGAAACGAUCGUUAAUACCGCAUAACAUAAUUGAACCGCAUGAUUUGAUUAUCAAAGAUUUAUCGCUGAAAGAUGAGCUCGCGUCUGAUUAGCUAGUUGGUAAGGUAACGGCUUACCAAGGCGACGAUCAGUAGCCGGACUGAGAGGUUGAUCGGCCACAUUGGGACUGAGACACGGCCCAGACUCCUACGGGAGGCAGCAGUGGGGAAUAUUGCACAAUGGAGGAAACUCUGAUGCAGCGAUGCCGCGUGAGGGAAGAAGGUUUUAGGAUUGUAAACCUCUGUCUUCAGGGACGAAAAAAGACGGUACCUGAGGAGGAAGCUCCGGCUAACUACGUGCCAGCAGCCGCGGUAAUACGUAGGGAGCGAGCGUUGUCCGGAAUUACUGGGUGUAAAGGGAGCGUAGGCGGGAUCGCAAGUCAGAUGUGAAAACUAUGGGCUUAACCCAUAAACUGCAUUUGAAACUGUGGUUCUUGAGUGAAGUAGAGGUAAGCGGAAUUCCUAGUGUAGCGGUGAAAUGCGUAGAUAUUAGGAGGAACAUCAGUGGCGAAGGCGGCUUACUGGGCUUUAACUGACGCUGAGGCUCGAAAGCGUGGGGAGCAAACAGGAUUAGAUACCCUGGUAGUCCACGCCGUAAACGAUGAUUACUAGGUGUGGGGGGACUGACCCCUUCCGUGCCGCAGCAAACGCAAUAAGUAAUCCACCUGGGGAGUACGACCGCAAGGUUGAAACUCAAAGGAAUUGACGGGGGCCCGCACAAGCAGUGGAGUAUGUGGAUUAAUUCGAAGCAACGCGAAGAACCUUACCAGGUCUUGACAUCGUAUGCAUAGCUCAGAGAUGAGUGAAAUCUCUUCGGAGACAUAUAGACAGGUGGUGCAUGGUUGUCGUCAGCUCGUGUCGUGAGAUGUUGGGUUAAGUCCCGCAACGGGCGCAACCCUUACUGUUAGUUGCUACGCAAGAGCACUCUAGCAGGACUGCCGUUGACAAAACGGAGGAAGGUGGGGAUGACGUCAAAUCAUCAUGCCCCUUAUGACCUGGGCCUCACACGUACUACAAUGGCUGUCAACAGAGGGAAGCAAAGCCGCGAGGUGGAGCGAACCCCUAAAAGCAGUCUUAGUUCGGAUUGUAGGCUGCAACCCGCCUACAUGAAGUCGGAAUUGCUAGUAAUCGCAGAUCAGCAUGCUGCGGUGAAUACGUUCCCGGGCCUUGUACACACCGCCCGUCACGCCAUGGGAGUCGGUAACACCCGAAGCCUGUAGUCUAACCGCAAGGAGGACGCAGUCGAAGGUGGGAUUGAUGACUGGGGUGAAGUCGUAACAAGGUA
rnacentral:rRNA from 1 species